rnacentral:rRNA from 1 species
UACUGUCGUUUAAUGGACGCAUCAAAGGUCACCCCUUGUCAAUAAUUGUUACGGUAACGGCACUCCUAGUGAGUCCUGCCGGUGACAAACCGGAGGAAGGUGGGGACCACGUCAAGUCGUGAUGGCCCUUAUGGGUAGGGCUUCACACGUCAUACAAUGGCGCAUACAGAGGGCUGCCAACCCGCGAGGGGGAGCCAAUCCCAGAAAGUGCGUCGUAGUCCGGAUUGCAGUCUGCAACUCGACUGCAUGAAGUCGGAAUCGCUAGUAAUCGCGGAUCAGCAAUGUCGCGGUGAAUACGUUCCCGGGUCUUGUACACACCGCCCGUCACACCAUGGGAGUGGGUUUCACCAGAAGCCGGUUGCCUAACCUGCGAGGGGGGGCGCUGACCACGGUGAGAUUCAUGACUGGGGUGAAGUCGUAACAAGGUAAG